UAUAUAUAUAUAUAUAUAUAUACUAUAUUUAUAUUCAUACUGCACACAAAGUUUUACACUGCAAGCCGCACACUGGUGUUCAUGACCUUAUUUGACCUUGAGCUUGCUAACACAUGAGGAUUUUAUACGGCGUUCAACAGCUCAUUUAACACUUUAAAGGCACAUUUUUAUACAGUACUUAUUCCCCAAAUUGGUUGCCAGAUGAUGAUGAAAUCCACAUGGCGAAUGUUGGUGUAUGAGCCAGAAUGAAAGAUUUUAGCCUGAGAUAAAGACCAAAAUUUUUUAACUUUUAAAUUUUUUUUAACCAAAGUCAAGGAUUUUAGUCAAAGAUAAAGGUUUUAGCCGAGUCCAAAAUAUUAGCAAGAGAUAAAGACUUUAGAAUGAGCUAAUAUUUUAUGAAGUCGAUUAUUUUUUUGUUUUACCCAAGCUAAAGUUUCUGAGAUAACGAUUCUAGGCCCAGACAAACAUUUCAGGCAGCGUUAAAGAUUUUAGCCGUGAGAAACGUUUUAGUUGAGAUAAAGGUUUUAGUCGAGUUAAAGGUUUAAGCCAGAGAUAAAGGUUUUAGACAGAGAUAAAGGUUUUAAGCAGAAUUUUACGAAUUCAGCCCAAUUUUAAAAGAAUUUAAGCCGGGUUAAAGAUUUUUUAUCCUAGGAUAAAAUCAAAAUCUAUAAUUCUGCCUGAAAUCUUUCACUUGGGCUGGAAUCUUUGUGUCGGGAUAAAAUCUUUAACUUUAACUUGGGUUAAAAACAAAACCCCCCCAAACUUUAGGUGUUGGCGUUACUUUUAGCUUCCUUUUUUAGGUUACUUUAUUAAAAUGUGCAUUUUUAGCCUGAGAUAAAGAUUUUAUCCCACGUUAAAAACUUUUGACCGAGCGAGGGAUAUUAUCACGAGAAAAAAAAAAAAAAAAUCUAAAAAGUGUAAAGAAAGUGAUUAGGUCAAAUAUAUUUGGAAUAAACCUGCUGAUUGUGUUAUAACAUGUGCUUACAGACAGGCUCACGCCCUAACAGUGAUUAUGAUGGUUGAGAAAACGUUUAUUGAUCACUGAAAACACCGCAGUUGUAAAUCAUCAGUAAAAUUCAGGUCUUGUCCAGAUUGCGGUUUGGAUGAAUUCCACAGACGUAAUUUACCUGAAUUUGAACGUUUAAAAUCCGCCGUCGCUGCGUUGGGGGAAUCACGGUCACGUCAACGUCUCGUUCAUUAAACUGAAACGAAAUGGCUUACGAUCGCUCUUGAUCUACACGUGGAUUGUAAACUGUAACUCGGUUGCACCGCACUGCAAAAAUAAUCGAGUACAAAUAUCCCGGAUACGAUGAACGUCUUAUCGUUACACGAUCCUGCUCAAACGAACGGAUUAUUAAACACGAUUCCGAGACAUUAUUUGGAAUAUUAAAGCUUCACGAUGCGGUUAAUCUCUUUGAACUUUUUUUUUUUUUUUUAGAAGGAAGCAAAACUAAUCGCUACUAGAAUCUGCUCGUUUCAAAUGUCUAAAAACGAGAAAGAAUGUUUAAUAAGAAUAUAUAUAUUUAUAUAUAUGUUUUAGCAUAAUCUAAUAAGGAUAAAUAUAGCAUAAUUGGUCUGAUAUUUAAGAUAUUUUCGCUUGAUAAAAAUUUCGCAGUCGCUAAUCUUGUGCUGUAAGUAUACGCUUCCAAAUACCACGUACUAGCAAGUGAAAAGAUCUCGGUCCGAUUUAUCUCGUGUUUCCUAUCGUAAGGAUACGAUAAAGCAGACAGACCGAUAUGAAACCUUCGUCUGGAUGAUUUAUUACUAAUUUUGUUCUAUUGGGAGAUUUGACCUGAACUUUUCCUUUGAAAUCGAACAAAAUGAACAAAUCUAAAGCUUGAAAUGAGCAAAAAGCAUCGAAAACCGAGCUGGAAAAUUCUAAUACUUGAUUUAUAAUAAUCUCACAAUAAGAAAUAUCAGCUACAUCAGGCCAUAUUCGAGAUAUUUUCACCGGCUAACAUACUGUUUCUGUACAGCGUACGGGAUUGAAGGAGUGUUUUUGUUUUUUUUUCUUUUUCUACCUGAAUUGUGUAAGGAUUUAACAGCAAACGAUUUAAUUGGGGGAGAAAAAAAAAAAAAAAAUCGAAAAUAAAGAACGUGUAAAAACGAAACAGUACAGAACGUUUCGAUGAAAAUCGGACGUUUAAGACGUCAGACGGAACUCCCGCGAUGUUUCGUUUGUUAGCUUGGUUGGAUCGUUGGUGUGAUGGGAAUCCGGCGAGUAAAAAUGAGUCAAAACAGUCUCGAAACUGGUUUUGUACUCAAAAGGUAUUGGUUUAUGGUUAUUGGCCACCUUAACAUACAUUUGACAUGCAGCACAAUCAUAAUUUCUGCACAUCGGAAAAUACACAACAUGUGUGUGAGAGCUACGGUAGAGGUCAAACUAAACCUAGACGCAAGGCUCUACCGAGAAUAUAAAAUUAGUUCUACUUUCUCCAAACACACACACACGACUUAGCUUCUAUGAUAUCAUAUAACUGUGUUCACACCCUCUGAGUUAAAAAGUUAACGUUUUCGAUUACAAACUGCUCGUUUUUUUUUAAUUCUUUUUUUUUUUUUUUUUCUUUUUUUAAGUCUAUCUGUUCGAUAAGGACGUUUUAACGACAGACAUGGCAUCUAAACUGAAAGACGACAUUGUAAACUAUGCCAUACUGCGUACUUUCUUUUAAAAUGAUAACCAGUGACAUUUAGAUCCACACUUCAUAUCAUAUUUCAAAUAUAUCAUAUCAUAUCAUAUCAUAUAUCAUAUACCGUACUGUCCGCUUCAUUUUUUUUUUUCCUCCUGCAUCCCGUUUCAAAACGACGUCACAUACGAAAAACAAACAAAACAAACAAACAAACAAACAAAAACAACAAAAAACAACUAAAGCAAAAGCAGGGAGCACGUCAUGUGAUGCAUUAGAACAUUAUCAAAAUCCUGUACAACUCAUCAGAACAAUAAUUAAAAAAAUAAAAUCGAACCGAAUCUGUUAAGAGUGAAGAGUAGUACACGAUCUCCGUGAACGACGACGACGACAACAAAAAUAAUAAUAACAAAAAUGCAUACAGUGAAAUGAAUCUGAUCGAACCGAACACGAGUUUUCUUUGCUAAAGAGACACACUUUGCCCCCCCCCCCCCUUCCUCCCCACCCCACCCAAAAAAAA
ensembl:lncRNA